ACCAGAAUUAGAAAGAGUGAGAUAGAGAGAACAAGUGAUUAUAUAUAGAAAGAUCUAUAUGUAAAAUAUAGAUCUAAACAAACCGACUGUAUAUCAUUAUAUCUAUGAUAGAUUCUUGAGACAACUCGAUGGAGACAAUGCAUAAACACAUAUAUAUAUCCCACAUAAAAAGGUGUUUCCGCACCAACACAGCAACAAAAAAGAAAAUCAAACAAGCUCGAGCUUAUUUAUACGAAAAAUCACCAAGAAAAUUUGAGAAAAUCCCAAAUGGAAGAGAAUUGAAAUUAAAUGAAAUAAAGCAGUAAUUAAACACAAACCCUAUUAAAAGUGUAUGCUAAUAAUAAUAAAUGAUGUAAAAAGAUGAAUUCGGACCGAAUCGGCUUGAUUCCCUGAGAGAUCGAUCGAAGAAGACUCGCCAACCUUCUAAGAAGAAUCUAGAAGUCUCCUUGAGCUAGCCUCCAUCUUCUUCUGAUUAUCAGUAGGGUUUUCUGUUCAAGAGAGAGAAAGAUGGAGUCUUUUUAUCUCUAGAUAUGGGUGGUGGUGGGGGGGUGGUGGUGGUGGAGCGGUGGUGGAUGCAAUGAUGGUGGUGGUGGAGGUGGUGAUUAAUGGGGAAAGGUGAGAGCAUCAUGAUGAUUGAUGUUGAGAGAGGAUGAAGAAAAUUCCAAGGUUUUUGUAUCAAAUAUUCCUUACAAAUUUAAAGUAGUUUUAUCGCUCUCUGUGUAGUAUAUAUAUCAAUG
rnacentral:lncRNA from 1 species